rnacentral:rRNA from 1 species
UACGUAGGCAGCAAGCGUUGUUCGGAGUUACUGGGCGUAAAGAGUCUGUAGGCGGUGCUCUAAGUUUGGUGUGAAAUCUCCCGGCUUAACCGGGAGGGUGCGCCGAAGACUGGGGUGCUGGAGUCUGGGAGAGGAAAGCGGAAUUCCUGGUGUAGCGGUGAAAUGCGUAGAUAUCGUAAGGAAGACCAGUGGCGAAGGCGGGUCUCUGGACAGUUCCUGACGCGUGAGGGCACGAAGGUCAGGGAGCAAACGGG